UAAACGCGUGUGCUGCCCCUUUCUCAUGGUCCUUCACCACCUGACCCAUGCCUGGCAUGUAUGCCGUCUCUCGCCCCUCUGGCACAAGUGUGACCAUCUUAGUAAAACUGUAAUUCUUCCAAAUUCGUUCUAAUACAAACUUUUCGGCCCUUGAAUCUGUUAUUCUAUUUUUGCUCUCCCACGUGCAUCGCUAAAUCUAGUGCGCAUUUAAGGAUAUCUAUUCAGUCCGUCUAAACCUCAACCGAUCCUUCAAACGGGACACAAAUGAAAAAAAUGGAGGGAUGUUCUCACAAAAGGCAGAGCAGUGCAAUCUAAACGGUAAGAUUAGGGGUCAUUUAUGAGGAACUUUUGAACAUAUGAAGUGCGUUCUCGUUUGGAAAAUAUGCUAGCCUUACCAUUAUUGAGCAUGAUGGAGUUCUAGACCUCGCAGGCACCAUUCUUCGUGUGCAUCAUUCAUGCAAUUCUCAAAAUUUUUCAUCGCUUCUGAGGGUCAUGGACAUGAAGGUCUAGGAAGUCUAAUGCAUAUGUUUUUCUUGCCUUGGAAGAUAUAUUUUCCUCUCAAAUAUGAAUGCCUUUUUUUCAAAAUCCCCCACUCACAAGGUGGGGGAGGGGGUACGUUAGCCGGUUACAUGCUGCUAAGCUGAACUUACUUCCUGGAGUAUGCAAUGAUGGGCGAAGGACCCAAGAGUAGGAGUGCAACGGUUGAAAAUAACAAUCCAACCACCAUCAUGCCCCAAUGAUGGUCCAAUCGAUCGGCAAGCCAGCCCCACAGCGGACUCGAAAGCCCAUAUAAGGCGGAAAACAGAAGAAAAAUGAGACCCAUUUCUGUGCUCGUUAAAUUUAGCUGAAACAUUGUAAAAUAAAAUUUAAAUGAGGCCAUAAUGCUGGAAACCUAAAUUUACAAACUAACUUCACACACAAAUUGCUUACUCGUCCCACAAGUCAACACUGAGAGUUCGAAAAACUGACCAGAUUGUAAUUUCCGUGUGAGAAAAAUAAUUUCGAUGAUUCAUGAAGACAUAUUUUCAUGAGCCCCUCCGAAUAUUUUUAUUUGGUAUGUAUCUCAGUAUCACUAACUAUAUCAGUAAAUCAGGGUAUCUACACCGAGUCAUUCUGCAGUUUUUAGGCAUGUUCCGACCGCAGAACAUCCUUAAGUUAGAACAUGAUUUAAGUUUAAUUUUAACGUUUGAUGAACUCUCGCAGCUAUCGAUGUUAUUCUUAUUUAUAAAGCGACCAGGGUCGCACCAAAUCGACAUUAAAUUGUGAAAAAUGUACGUCAUUUUGUGAACUUAUCGGCACGUAAUAUAAGCCCAUUUCUAUGUGGUAAUAGAGCAUGAUAAAAUGAUGUCACUUUGUCAAAAUGUAACUACUUAAAUUUCCCUAUUACAAAAAUUCUCUAUAUCGCCGAACCGUGGUAAAAUGAAGAGGGCGUGUCGUAACGUAGACAAAAUUCUACAUCUCUGUAUCUGCAUUUAAUAAUUUAAACAGGCGGAAAAAUUAUUUCUUGUUGUGAUCUUUUUUUUUGAGGGGAGGGGGGGGGGUUCUGUAAUUUUCAAGAUAAUCGCCAGGCGUGAUCAGCACUGAAGAAAAUUCAUAGGUUCCGCGUCAAACUUUGAUGCGUUACGAUAUGGUGUAAAAAACUUAAAACUCUGGUCUUUCAAGCGCUUUUGGUUAAAAUUACAACAAACUUGGACGCCAAGCGAGUCAUGCACUAUCCUCAAUCGAAUAGAGAAAAUAUUUUAGAAAUUUAGAGACUUCCACAGUAUUGAAAGGCUCAUUAAAUGAGGCUUCUACUCAUUACAUGAGGCUCUUGAGGAAAAAUUACCUCUCUUAGAUGGGGUUCGAGCGUUGGAUCCAAAAACGCCCACACAGUUGAAGCAACCAUUACGACUAAACCGAUGAUGAAUACUGAUGGCACCGUCAUUAACUUAAGGAAUGACCCGGACUGCUCACUGUGACUUUCUUCUGCAAGUAGAAAAGUAUUAUGAACCACAAUUGAUGAAUUAGUUGAGAUGGGAACAAAAGGAAUUAUACAGUUUGUGCAUUUGAUUGAUUGUGCAUAUCUUUAAAAUAUGUAUUAAAAUCAAGUGAUCAUUCAAUUCAGUCUUGAAGCUAUGAAACUCAAAAGUGCGAUGAUAUAGGGACAAUUCUGCGCUCCUUUUUUAUUUUCUUAAAAUGUUUUAGAGAAUUGUGUAAAAGGUAGAAGAUUACUGAAGAGCCUACCACAUUUAGCCAUUUUCAUUCCAAACAACCAUUUUUUUUUUUUUUUUUUUUAUUACUAAGCGUUUAUUGUGAACGUCUACACAUUAGAAUUUUACACAUUGUAACUAAGUUUAAAAAUAAAGUGGAUGUUGCAAACAA